rnacentral:lncRNA from 1 species
AAGAUUGAGAUGAGCUGAGAUAAGGCUAGAGAAUAAGAUUGAGAUGAGAGAAUUGUGGAGAGUUGGUUAGCAGCAGAUAAGUCCAAGAAAGUAGGAGUUAGUUGAGAGUUUGUAGGAGAAGUUGGUUAGCCAUAGGGCUAUUUAUAAGCCGCAUGGCAGCAGGGAAUAAAUCAAGCAAGAUCAUUAUCAAACCAAUCUCUCUCUCUCUCUUGCAAUGACCCUCUCAAGCGCCUAGGGCUGCUACCCUAGAACCAAGCCUGCGGCAGAGGGGUAUAACCUCGCCGGAGAAGACAGCUAUCCCCAUGGACCGAAGGUCCAUGACACCUGGUAUCAGCUCUAGGUUAUCCUCACCACCACCAGCCGCUCAUCCCUCACCACCACCAGCCGCCGCAACGCCCUCCCACCCGCCCUCUCCAACUCCAGAUGCAUUCACUCGGCUCGAAGAGAGUUUUGGCCGUCUCGCAGAGAAGUGGGAUCAGUUCGUUGUGAUGUUCCACCGCUACAAGGAGAAGACAGAGAAGGAACUCCAAGCAGCGGUGCGGCUUCAAACGACAGCGCGAGGGUUCCUGGCACGCCGCCAGGUACAGUCCCUUCGUGGGGAGAAGCACCUUGCUGUGGCCUCCAGGGCCACCCCAUGGCCGUCAUCACAUGAGCAGGCUGUGGUGCGCCUGCAAGCCGCAGUGCGCGGCUUCCUUGUUAGGCGGGCGGUACGGAAGCUGCACUUGCUGAUCAGCUCAUCGCUGCACCAACUCGCAGCCUGCGCGCCCAACCACCAGGUCUCGUCUAUACUUUUUGAACCCCCUGCAGAAGUCGAGAUCUGGGUAUGCAGCCCCCCUGCACGGCCAAAGAGGGUCAUCUCCUUCAUUCGGGCAACUACCUUAGUGCUGGACAGACCCAACAUAAGAACGAGCUGGUUCCUCCUUCACCUUUCAUCCAACGUGAAGUCCGCAGUUCAGCUCUUUCCUUGGGAUCCAGGAGGACAGGAGGACAUAGCAGCAGUUCAAAUUUAUAUUUUAGUUCCACAAUUAUUUUGUAUUUUCGUCUUAAAUAAUAAAGGUAAGCCGAGAUGUAAAAGGCUUAACCUUAAGUUGUGUCAGGUAAGUCUAUGGCAGCUCGAGGACGAGCUGGUCCUCAAGGGAGGGGGAGAUGUCAUGGGCAUCAUAGGGAGCGAGAGACAACAACCAGGCUGGGAUAAGGCUAGAGAAUAAGAUUAAGAUUAGCUGGGAUAAGGCUAGAGGAUAAGAUUGAGAUGAGAGAAUUAUGGAGAGUUGGUUAGCAUCAGAUAAGUCCAAGAAAGUAGGAGUUAGUUGAGAGUUUGUAGGAGAAGUUGGUUAGCCAUAGGGCUAUUUAUAAGCCGCAUGGCAGCAGGGAAUAAAUCAAGCAAGAUCAUUAUCAAAUCAAUCUCUCUCCCUUGCAAUGACCCUCUUAAGCGCCUAGGGCUGCUACCCUAGAACCAAGCCUGCGGCAGAGGGGUAUAACCUCGCCGGAGAAGACAGCUAUCCCGAUGGACCGAAGGUCCAUGACACCUGGUAUCAGCUCCAGGUUAUCUUCACCACCACCAGCCGCCCAUCCCUCACCACCACCAGCCGCCGCGCCAUAUGCCGCCGCAACGACCUCCCACCCGCCCUCUCCAACUCUAGAUGCAUUCACUCGGCUCGAAGAAAAGUGGGAUCAAUUCGUUGUGAUGUUCCACCGCUACAAGGAGAAGACAGAGAAGGAACUUCAAGCAGCGGUGCGGUUUCAGGCGGCAGCGCGAGGGUUCCUGGCACGCCGCCAGGUACAGUCCCUUCGUGGGGAGAAGCACCUUGUUGUGGCCUCCAGGGCCACCCCAUGGCCGUCAUCACAUGAGCAGGCCGUGGUGCGCCUGCAAGCCGCAGUGCGCGGCUUCCUUGUUAGGCGGGCGGUGCGGAAGCUACACUUGCUGAUCAGCUCAUCGCUGCACCAACUCGCAGCCUGCGCGCCCAACCACCAGGUCUCGUCUAUACUUUUUGAACCCCCUGCAGAAGUCGAGAUCUGGGUAUGCAGUCCCCCUGCACGACCAAAGAGGGUCGUCUCCUUCAUUCGAGCAACUGCCUUGGUGCUGGACAAACCCAACAUAAGAACAGGCUGGUUCCUCCUUCACCUUUCAUCCAACGUGAAGUCCGCAGUUCAGCUCUUUCCUUGGGAUCCAGGAGGACAGGAGGACAUAGCAGCAGUUCAAAUUUAUAUUUUAGUUCCACAAUUAUUUUGUAUUUUCGUCUUAAAUAAUAAAGGUAAGCCGAGAUGUAAAAAGCUUAACCUUAAGUCGUGUCAGGUAAGUCUAUGGCAGCUCGAGGACGAGCUGGUCCUCAAGGGAGGGGGAGAUGUCAUGGGCAUCAUAGGGAGCGAGAGGCAACAGCCAGGCUGGGAUAAGGCUAGAGAAUAAGAUUAAGAUUAGCUGGGAUAAGGCUAGAGAAUAAGAUUGAGAUGAGAGAAUUGUGGAGAGUUGGUUAGCAUCAGAUAAGUCCAAGAAAGUAGGAGUUAGUUGAGAGUUUGUAGGAGAAGUUGGUUAGCCAUAGGGCUAUUUAUAAGCCGCAUGGCAGGAGGGAAUAAAUCAAGCAAGAUCAUUAUCAAACCAAUCUAUCUCCCUUGCAAUGACCCUCUCAAGCACCUAGGGCUGCUACCCUAGAACCAAGCCUGCGGCAGAGGGGUAUAACCUCGCCGGAGAAGACAGCUAUCCCCAUGGACCGAAGGUCCAUGACACGUAUGUACAAAAAUAAAAAAUAAAAAAUGUCUCUAAUAUAGAUAUUUGCGUAUAGAGGACGUGAUUUAGAGGACGUUGUUGGAGAGGAAGGAGAUAUAGAGGAUAAAAUCUUUUAGAGGAGACUGUAAAGGACGGAUAUAAAGGAUGGAUAUAGAGGAUGUUG